rnacentral:rRNA from 1 species
AUUGAACGCUGGCGGCAGGCCUAACACAUGCAAGUCGAACGGUAACAGGAAGCAGCUUGCUGCUUUGCUGACGAGUGGCGGACUGGUGAGUAAUGUCUGGGAAACUGCCUGAUGGAGGGGGAUAACUACUGGAAACGGUAGCUAAUACCGCAUAACGUCGCAAGACCAAAGAGGGGGACCUUCGGGCCUCUUGCCAUCGGAUGUGCCCAGAUGGGAUUAGCUAGUAGGUGGGGUAACGGCUCACCUAGGCGACGAUCCCUAGCUGGUCUGAGAGGAUGACCAGCCACACUGGAACUGAGACACGGUCCAGACUCCUACGGGAGGCAGCAGUGGGGAAUAUUGCACAAUGGGCGCAAGCCUGAUGCAGCCAUGCCGCGUGUAUGAAGAAGGCCUUCGGGUUGUAAAGUACUUUCAGCGGGGACGAAGGGAGUAAAGUUAAUACCUUUGCUCAUUGACGUUACCCGCAGAAGAAGCACCGGCUAACUCCGUG